GAUGAACGCUGGCGGCGUGCUUAACACAUGCCAGUCGAACGAAGCAUUUAGAACAGAUUACUUCGGUUUGAAGUUCUUUAUGACUGAGUGGCGGACGGGUGAGUAACGCGUGGGUAACCUGCCUUGUACUGGGGGAUAGCAGCUGGAAACGGCUGGUAAUACCGCAUAAGCGCACAAUGUUGCAUGACAUGGUGUGAAAAACUCCGGUGGUAUAAGAUGGACCCGCGUCUGAUUAGCUAGUUGGUGAGAUAACAGCCCACCAAGGCGACGAUCAGUAGCCGACCUGAGAGGGUGACCGGCCACAUUGGGACUGAGACACGGCCCAGACUCCUACGGGAGGCAGCAGUGGGGAAUAUUGCACAAUGGAGGAAACUCUGAUGCAGCGACGCCGCGUGAGUGAAGAAGUAAUUCGUUAUGUAAAGCUCUAUCAGCAGGGAAGAUAGUGACGGUACCUGACUAAGAAGCGCCGGCUAAAUACGUG
rnacentral:rRNA from 1 species